rnacentral:rRNA from 1 species
CGAUGGAUACUCGCGGUGCGCCUUUAUGGUGCGUCGCUUAGCGAAAGCGUUAAGUAUCCCACCUGGGGAGUACGCCGGCAACGGUGAAACUCAAAGGAAUUGACGGGGGCCCGCACAAGCGGAGGAACAUGUGGUUUAAUUCGAUGAUACGCGAGGAACCUUACCCGGGCUUGAAUUGCGACUGACUGCAUCAGAGAUGAUGUUUCCAGCAAUGGCAGUCGUGAAGGUGCUGCAUGGUUGUCGUCAGCUCGUGCCGUGAGGUGUCGGCUUAAGUGCCAUAACGAGCGCAACCCUUUUCCCUGUUUGCCAUCGGGUAAUGCCGGGCACUCCAGGGAUACUGCCAUCGUAAGAUGUGAGGAAGGUGGGGAUGACGUCAAAUCAGCACGGCCCUUACGUCCGGGGCUACACACGUGUUACAAUGGGCGGCACAGAGGGCAGCGACCGCGCGAGCGGCAGCCAAUCCCGAAAUCCGCUCUCAGUUCGGACUGGAGUCUGCAACCCGACUCCACGAAGCUGGAUUCGCUAGUAAUCGCGCAUCAGCCAUGGCGCGGUGAAUACGUUCCCGGGCCUUGCACACACCGCCCGUC